UUUUAUAUAGUGAUGGUGAGGGUGCAAUGAUAUUUAUGAGCAAAAUAUUUUAGUAUCGAAAUUUUAGAAUGGUGAAUUAAUAAGUUUUCCUUUUAGUACAAUACACACCGGCGUCCACGAAUAUUCAUCAAUAUUGAUUGCUUAGCCACUUCUCCAAGAAAAAAGAAGUAAUAGAAAGAAUUAAUAUAAUUACCAUAUACAACAUUACAAAUUUAUAUUGAUACGUUUUAUUUGAUUAAUCCAGUAUAUAUUAUUUGAGAAGCAUUACAAUAUUUUUUUGUAGCCACGUGUCAUCAUUAGAAUGAUUUUUAGAAUCCUUAGAGAAAUAAGUUGGUCCAUCUAAAUAUAUAAUAAAUUUUUAUUAAAGUAACCAUAAAU
rnacentral:lncRNA from 1 species